rnacentral:rRNA from 1 species
CCUACGGGGGGCAGCAGUGAGGAAUAUUGGUCAAUGGGCGCGAGCCUGAACCAGCCAAGUAGCGUGAAGGAUGACUGCCCUACGGGUUGUAAACUUCUUUUAUAAAGGAAUAAAGUGAGGCACGUGUGCCUUUUUGUAUGUACUUUAUGAAUAAGGCUCGGAUCACUCCGUGCCAGCAGCCGCUGUAAUCCGGAGGUUCCGAGCGUUAUCCGGAUUUAUUGGGUUUCACGGGAGCGUAGAAGGGUAGGUAAGUCAGAUGUGAAAGGUUGCGUCUCAACCUUAAAAUUGCAAUUGAUACUGGCAAGCUUGAGUACAGGAGAGGUAGGCGGAAUUCGUGGUGUAGCGGUGAAAUGCGUAGAUAUCACGAAGAACACCAGUGGCGAAGGCAGCUUACUAGACUGCAACUGACAUUGAGGCGCGAAAGUGUGGGUAUCAAACAGGAUUAGAUACCCCGGUAGUC